rnacentral:tRNA from 1 species
GAUCAGGUGGCCGAGUGGUUAAGUCGAUGGACUGCUAAUCCAUUGGGGUUUCCCCGCGUGAGUUCGA